UACGUAGGGCGCAAGCGUUGUCCGGAAUUAUUGGGCGUAAAGAGCUCGUAGGCGGUCUGUCGCGUCGGAUGUGAAAGCCCGGGGCUUAACCCCGGGUCUGCAUUCGAUACGGGCAGACUAGAGUGUGGUAGGGGAGAUCGGAAUUCCUGGUGUAGCGGUGAAAUGCGCAGAUAUCAGGAGGAACACCGGUGGCGAAGGCGGAUCUCUGGGCAGUAACUGACGCUGAGGAGCGAAAGCGUGGGGAGCGAACAGG
rnacentral:rRNA from 1 species